rnacentral:ncRNA from 2 species
AAACCUAAACACGGGUGCCCGGCGCGCAGCCGGGCUGAGAUGAAACCGUAUGAACCUGAUCCGGUUAGUACCGGCGCUAGGGAGGAAAUAUGCGUUCUAU